rnacentral:rRNA from 1 species
UGGGGAAUAUUGGACAAUGGGGGCAACCCUGAUCCAGCCAUGCCGCGUGAGUGAUGAAGGCCCUAGGGUUGUAAAGCUCUUUCGGCGGGGACGAUAAUGACGGUACCCGCAGAAGAAGCCCCGGCUAACUUCGUGC